rnacentral:tRNA from 1 species
AGCAACUUGACGCAGUGGAAGCGUGCAGGGCUCAUAACCCUGAAGUGCCUGGAUCGAAACCAGGAGUUGCUA